rnacentral:rRNA from 1 species
UACGUAGGUGGCGAGCGUUGUCCGGAUUUAUUGGGCGUAAAGCGCGCGCAGGCGGUGAGGUAAGUCCGUCGUGAAAUCUCCCGGCUCAACUGGGAGGGUGCGGGGGAGACUGCCUGACUGGAGGCACUCAGAGGCCGGUGGAAUUCCCGGUGGAGUGGUGAAAUGCGUAGAGAUCGGGAGGAACACCAGUGGCGAAGGCGGCCGGCUGGGGGUGACCUGACGCUGAGGAGCGAAAGCGUGGGGAGCGAACCGG